rnacentral:rRNA from 1 species
CCUACGGGUGGCAGCAGUGGGGAAUAUUGCACAAUGGGGGGAACCCUGAUGCAGCAAUGCCGCGUGUGUGAAGAAGCACUCCGGUGCGUAAAGCCCUUUCAGCAGGGAAGAAAAUUACAGUACCUGGACAAGAAGCCCCGGCUAACUACGUGCCAGCAGCCGCGGGAAUACGUAGGUGGCAAGCGUUAUCCGGAUUUACUGGGUGUAAAGGGCGUGUAGGCGGGAAAGCAAGUCAGAUGUGAAAGCCAUGGGCUAAACCUGUGGCCUGCAUUUGAAACUGUUUGUCUUGAGUACUGGAGAGGCAGACGGAAUUCCUAGUGUAGCGGUGAAAUGCGUAGAUAUUAGGAGGAACACCAGUGGCGAAGGCGGUCUGCUGGACAGCAACUGACGCUGAGGCGCGAAAGCGUGGGGAGCAAACAGGAUUAGAUACCCCAGUAGUC